rnacentral:lncRNA from 1 species
AGCAGCCAGAGUGAUGAAUUAAUCCAUGUUUCUCACUUGCUCAGAGUUCUUCACUUCCUGUUGUUCUUGUAGCAAGAUACAAAAUCCUACUUUGGUCCACAAACACAAUGUAUUCUAGACCUUGACACCUCUCUGAUUUCUGCCCACUCACUCCAGCACGCUCACUGUUUUGGAACUCAUCACCAGCCAGAGAUUUUAUACUUGCCUGCCCCACUGCCUGUGAGGUUCAUCCUGCUGAUAAGUGCAUAGCUUGCAGCACACACUGUAAGCAGAUGGCCUUCCUGUUUCAACUGGCCUCCCCUCCAUCACUCCUUGCUUUAUUAUUCUUUAUAACAUUCAACUCUACUUGAUAUUGUAUAAUGUGUUGAUUAAUUCAUUUAUAAGGGUAGAGACCUUGCCUUUCUCGUAUACCAAUGUAUUUUCAGAGCCU